UGAGAAUGGGGAAAAUACAGGGAAAUGCUCCGUUGUCUGGAGUAAAGAAGCCCUUUGGUAAUGGUCACCGCAAGAAGGAGGGUGAAUCGAGUGAUGUGUAUGCCCAAAGGGGACACGGUAGGGAUCGUUACCACCCGUAUGCUGCUACAGUAACAAUUCCUGUUGAUAAUCAACCUGCACAACAACAACAACAGCAACAACCACAGCAACGGCAGCCGUUCCAGCAGAGAACACAGCGGGUCGGGUAUCAAGUGAGAGGGAGAAUGAAU
rnacentral:lncRNA from 1 species